rfam:Angiostrongylus costaricensis strain Costa Rica genome assembly, scaffold: ACOC_scaffold0000152
UCCCAUGUGGUCUAGUGGUUAGGACUCGUGGUUUUCACCCACGCGGCCCGAGUUCGAUUCCCGGCAUGGGAA